rnacentral:rRNA from 1 species
AGAGGAAGUAAAAGUCGUAACAAGGUUUCCGUAGGUGAACCUGCGGAAGGAUCAUUACAGAAAGUAAACGCGGGUCACACCGCGAAUUUCUAAACCUUUGACGAUUGACUCAUGUUGCCUCGGCGGGUUCUCCCGCCAGAGGAUACAUCAAAACUCCUGUUUUAAUGGUGUUGUCUGAGCUAUAAGCAACGAAUCAAAACUUUCAACAACGGAUCUCUUGGUUCUGGCAUCGAUGAAGAACGCAGCGAAAUGCGAUAAGUAGUGUGAAUUGCAGAAUUCAGUGAAUCAUCGAAUCUUUGAACGCACAUUGCGCCCCUUGGUAUCCCGAGGGGCAUGCCUGUUCGAGCGUCAUUUCACCACUCAAGCCUGGCUUGGUGUUGGGCGACGUCCCCUUCAGGGACGCGCCUCGAAACGCUCGGCGGCGUGGCACCGGCUUUAAGCGUAGCAGAAUCUUUCGCUUCAAAAGUCGGGGCCCCGUCUGCCGGAAGACCUACUCGCAAGGUUGACCUCGGAUCAGGCAGGGAUACCCGCUGAACUUAAGCAUAUCAAUAAGCGGAGG